rnacentral:antisense_RNA from 1 species
CUGCUGGUCAAUGCUAAUAGCUGGCUCUCAGGGAAAAAAGAAAAACCAUCUGUGGCAUCUGCCAAUUUCUGUGGUGUAAAUACUCUGAGCUCUGCCAAUUUCAAGCUAUCCAUUUGACAUUGCUGGACCCAAAGUUGGCAAGUGAUGUGCACAAUUGCCUUUUGCAAGAAACUAAAGGACAUACUUGUGGAAGAAGAAAAUUACAAAAUGAAAGAACUGGGAUGCAAGAAGUAAUGACUGGCUGGAGCGUCUCCAGGCAGCGCAGGGUCAAGGCAGGAACCAGCCGUGGACAAGACACCAUCCCAUUGCAGGAUGCACUCUCAUACACCCACACUCACCCAGACCGGGACACUUCAGACACGCCAACUCACCUAAUGCUCAGCUCUCCGGGAGGGCUGCUCCUGUGCCAUGAGGAGUAAGGGAGAUGGCUCACAGCUGGUCUCUACACAUGUUAGCUAUUUGCCUUAUUACACUCACAGAUAGGGCAGCUUAGAGUACAGUUGACUUGUCACUUUGUUGAUUGCUUCCUUUGAUGAACAAGAAUUGUUUAAAUUUGAUAUAAUCCCAUUCGUCUGUUUUAUCUUUUUUUGCCUGUGCUAUUGGUGUUGUAUUAAAGAAAUCAUUGCCAAGUCCAAUGUCAUGGAGCUUUUCCCCUAGGUUUUCUUCUAGGGGUUUUAUAGUUUUGGGUUUUUCAUUUGGUCUUUAAUCCACUUUGAGCUAGCUUUUGUGUAUGGUAUAAGAGAAGGGUCCAACUUUAUUCGUUUGAAUGUGGCUAUUCAAUUUUCCCAACACUAUUUGUUGAAGAGGCUGCUCUUCUCUCAUUAAGUGGUGUUGGUAUCCUUGUUGAAGAUCACUUGACCAUAUAUGUGAGGGUUUAUUUCUGAGUUCUCACCUCUGUUCUAUUGGUCUGUAUAUCUUUCUUUAUCCCAGUAUGACACUGUUUUGAUUACUGUAGUUUUGUAAUAUAUUUUGAAAUCAGAAAGUAUGGAUCCUCCAACUUUGUUCUUUUUCCAAAUCGUUUUGGCUAUUCAGGGUACCUUGAGAUUCCAUAUGGAUUUUAGGAUAAAUUUUUCUGUUUCUAAAAAAAAUGCCAUUGGAAUUUUGAUAGAAAUUGCAUUAAAUCUGUAAUCACUUUGGGUGGUAUGGACAUAUUAACAAUAUUAAGUCUUCCAGUCCAUGAACAUGAGGUAUCUUUCAAUUUAUUCACAUCUUCUUAAUUUCUUUCAGCAAUGUUUUAUAAUUUUUAGUGUAUGAGUCUUUCACAUUUUUGUUUAGGUUUAUUCCUAAAUGUGUUAUUUAUUUUGAUGCUACUAUAAGCAAAAUUGUUUCCUUAAUUUUCUUUUCAGAUUGUUCAUUGUUAAUAUACAGAAACCACUUUUUCUUCACAGUAUUAAAGACAUAUGUGUCACAUAAACACAAAACCAUCAGCUCAAGGUUUUUUAUAGAUUAUUGUAGUUUUAAUUUUAUAAGAUAAUGUUGCAAUGUAUAACAUUAAAAUUUAAAGUGUUCA